rnacentral:tRNA from 1 species
GCGGGUGUGGCCGAGAGGCGAGGCAGCGGUCUGCAAAACCGUCCACGUGGGUUCGAAUCCUGCCAUCCGCUCUA